UACGUAGGGUGCGAGCGUUGUCCGGAAUUAUUGGGCGUAAAGAGCUCGUAGGCGGUCUGUCGCGUCGGUCGUGAAAACCUGCAGCUUAACGGUGGGCUUGCGGUCGAUACGGGCACGCUAGAGUUCGGUAGGGGAGACUGGAAUUCCUGGUGUAGCGGUGAAAUGCGCAGAUAUCAGGAGGAACACCGGUGGCGAAGGCGGGUCUCUGGGCCGAUACUGACGCUGAGGAGCGAAAGCCAGGGGAGCGAACGGG
rnacentral:rRNA from 1 species